AUUAUUAAUUUGAAUGUAGAUUCUCUUGCAAAAUUUGUCUGCAGCUUGAAUAGCAGUGGAAGGGUGGGACAAGGCAACGAAGUGGACUGAAAUGGUGUCAUUUCCUUUGGAUAUGUCCCUCCAAGAUUGAUUUGGAAUGGAAGUGGCUGAAUAUGCCACAUUCUCAUCUUUACUUCUCUGGCAAAUAUCACACCUAUCAUAUAAUCCAAAUAUACCAUCUGUUUCAUCAGAGGCCAUUGAGAUAAUCUCUUCAAUAUACCAUCUGUUAGCUUCUAUUUAUUAAUACAACCAAUUAGUGCUCCACUCAACUGCUCUUAUUGGUUCGACUAAAUAUUUGUUGAUCCAAGAAAAGUAAACAGGAUAAGGCAAAUGGAAUCCGCCCAACAAUCAAACACCAACACUCAUUCUCAGUCGUAUGCAGCUUCAGUGACUCCAAUGAUGAAAGUAAACUUAACGUUACAUUGACUCAGACAGAUUUUUGAAGGGAGAGGUUCCAAUCCAUGAACGUGAUGUUGGUUCAUUUUUCAGUUAGGAUGGUGACUCACAUCGAUGGUGAUGACGAAGACGAGGAAAACUUUAAAAGCAAUAGAGCAGGUGGCAUAUAUGAUGAUGCGGAACCACAAAAUAAACCAUUAACGCAAUUCAAACGAGAAUAUGGAAGGACACAGUUGUAUAGAUUAUUAAAUGGGUCAAUUUGAAGAACGGAGACAGAGUCUUUUCCAUCUUUCUUUUCCUCCGCAGUGUAAUAAACUUCAUCUCCGUGCAAAAGGAAUUUUGUCCCACCAGAAUGACAUUUACGGAUAUCGGAAAAAGCUGAUUCGGAUAGCAUUGACUAACAGAAUGUGGAAACACACUUGAAACGCACUAACGAAUUAGAAGGAAGCCAUGAGAAUAUUUCAAACAUUAUUUCUUGAGGUAUUUUGCUGGAAGAAUUCAUAAUGUUAGAAGGCUGAUUGACGGUUUAUUUUCUUUUUGCCUCUUAUUAUUGUUGAAGUUCUGUUUGGCUCUCUGUUUCCUGGUAAGACUCAAUUUCUUUGUAGUACAUUACAACUAGGACUGCUUAAAA